rnacentral:misc_RNA from 1 species
AUUGAUAAAGUGUGAAGGGGUUGCGCGGUUCAAUUCCUAAGAAUUUCCUUUCCAUGUUGAGUUUAGCCUAGACAAUGACUUUGUUCACGUGAUUGACGAUGAGACACAGUUUUAAAGUAGACUUGGUUGAGUAUGCUAGCAGAGGAAGAUAUGUAUCGUCGCCGGAGUAAGAGUCUGCUUUUGUGCGAGUCAUGCUCUGGCGAUGAUACAUAUCUUCUUCUGGCAAAUAUAGCAUGCCCCUUACUACGUUGAAGCCAAGACUACUUUUAAGCUAAGGGAAAUACUUAGGCAUUGAACCGUG